CAUCUUAGGUUUCCAGCUGAGGGUCUUUAUCAAAAAGACAGAUUAACAAGAGAAAAACAGUUUACUAACAUGUGCAGCACACAUCAUAAGGAAGAAACUUCAAGGAGAGUAACUCAAAGCCGUGGCGUAGAACUCUCACUUAUAUAGCACCUUCAACAGAAAGCAAUACAUGUGUGGAGAAAUAACAGGACCAAGAAAAAGCAGUUUCAGGCUUCCAAAGGCAGCAAACCGCAGGAAGGUCCUUCUAGUUGUGGUAUUUGGGACGCCGCCUCUACGUGGCCUGACAAGCAGUGCCAUGUCCGCACCCAGGAUCCGAAGCCUGAGCCGACCACAGCAGAACGCGCGAACUUAACCACUGGGCCACGGAGCCGGCCCCCCUGCUUGAUGAGGAAGAUUAGCCCUGAGCUAACUGCUGCCAAUCCUCCUCUUUUUUCUGAGGAAGACCGGCCCUGAGCUAACAUCCGUGCCCAUCUUCCUCUACUUUAUGUGUGGGGCGCCUACCACAGGAUGGCGUGCCCAGUGGUGCCAUGUCCGCACCUGGGAUCUGAACUGGCGAACCCUGGGCUCCCAAGAAGCGGAAAGUGUGCAUUUAACCGCUGCGCCACAGGGCCGGCCCCUCAGUUAUUGUAUUUUUGAAAUCCAGAAUUUCUUUUUGUUUCUCCUCCAAAUAUGCUAUGUCAAAUUUUAUAAUAUUAAAUUCUAUGCUCAAGUUUGUCUUUUAUCUCCUCAAACAUAAGAAGCAUAGUUGUUUCAUACUCUGUUUCUAAUGAUACCCAUGCGCAUAAUUAUCUUUUAUUUUGUGCUGGACAUUAUAUUUGAAAAAUUAUUUAUAAAAACGAUUGCAGGACUAAGGAAUUGUUUUCUUCCGGAAAAUAAUAUUUUCAUUUGCUUCUGCCACAUGCCUUGGCACAAGAUGUCUUAUAUUAUAUUAAUGUAGUUUCAGGGUUUGAAAUGUCUAUACCAUUCAGAUGAUUCAAAACCAGAUUGCAAUUUAUAUGAGGUCUGAUUUACCACCUAUUCAAACGAACUCAUUUCUGGGUCCUGGACUCCAACUUUGUCUCCCAACCCCCACCCUAAAACGCUGUCAAAAGUGCUAUUCAUUCUGUCUCUCCCACUACCUUGUAAACAUAA
rnacentral:lncRNA from 1 species